rnacentral:rRNA from 1 species
ACUAGAAUGAAUGGCUAAAUGAGGACUAAUCUGUCUCUUACGGACCAACCAAUGAAAUUAAUCUUUCAGUACAAAAGCUGAAAUAAAAACAUAAGACGAGAAGACCCUGUGGAGCUUCAAACCAAAAACACCCUGCAUGCUCCUCAGGUUUUUAGUUGGGGCGACUUCGGAGCACAAUAAAACCUCCAAAAUCUUUAUCUUCAAGAUUAACAAACCAAAAACUUUAUUAGACCCAGCAAGUAUAACAUUGUCUGACCACUGAACCAAGUUACCCCAGGGAUAACAGCGCCAUCCCCUCCUAGAGUCCAUAUCAACAAGGGGGUUUACGACCUCGAUGUUGGAUCAGGACACCCCAAUGGUGCAGCCGCCAUUAAAG